rnacentral:rRNA from 1 species
GUGGCAGCAGCCGCGGUAAAACCAGCACCUCAAGUGGUCAGGAGGAUUAUUGGGCCUAAAGCAUCCGUAGCCGGCUAUGUUAGUUUUCGGUUAAAUCCAUGUGCUCAACAUAUGGGCUGUCGAGAAUACUGCAUAGCUAGGGAGUGGGAGAGGUAGACGGUACUCGAUAGGAAGGGGUAAAAUUCUUUGAUCUAUUGAUGACCACCAGUGGCGAAGGCGGUCUACCAGAACACGUCCGACGGUGAGGGAUGAAAGCUGGGGGAGCAAACCGGAUUAGAUACCCGGGUAGUCCCAGCUGUAAACUAUGCAAACUCAGUGAUGCAUUGGCUUGUGGCCAGUGCAGUGCCGCAGAGAAGUCGUUAAGUUUGCCGCCUGGGAAGUACGUACGCAAGUAUGAAACUUAAAGGAAUUGGCGGGGGAGCACCACAAGGGGUGAAGCCUGCGGUUCAAUUGGAGUCAACGCCAGAAAUCUUACCCGGAGAGACAGCAGAAUGAAGGUCAAGCUGAAGACUUUACCAGACAAGCUGAGAAGUGGUGCAUGGCCGUCGCCAGCUCGUGCCGUGAGAUGUCCUGUUAAGUCAGGUAACGAGCGAGAUCCCUGCCUCUAGUUGCCACCAUUACUCUCAGGAGUAGUGGGGCGAAUUAGCGGGACUGCCGCAGUUAAUGCGGAGGAAGGAGGGGGCCACGGCAGGUCAGUAUGCCCUGAAACUCUGGGGCCACACGCGGGCUGCAAUGGUAGUUACAAUGAGUUCCGAAUCCGAAAGGAGGAGGUAAUCUUCAAAUGCUACCACAGUUAUGAUUGAGGGCUGCAACUCGCCCUCAUGAAUAUGGAAUCCCUAGUAACUGCGUGUCAUUACCGCGCGGUGAAUACGUCCCUGCUCCUUGCACACACCGCCCGUC